GCAGGCAAUCGAGGCGGAUCACCGCCGAAGUCACCAGAGGAACAUGUCCUCGCAUUUCUCUGGUAUGCUGGUAACAAAUGCUGCAUCAGAGACGUCGCUGGACGUUUCAACGUGGGUGAGACUACUAUGCAUCGGAUAAUUGGGAGGGUUGGCUCUUUCCUGCUUGACAAAGCCGGACACGUCAUAAAGUUCCCCAGCGACCUAGAUGCACUUGCAAGAGAUUUUCAGGAGAUUUCAGGAAUCCCAGGUACCAUCGGAUGCAUUGAUGGGACCUAUAUCCAGAUUCGGUGCCCAGCACACAAGAUAAAGUCCACUUAUGAAUAAACUGUCGCCCCAUCGGACCUCUGUCCCAGUGUGGUUGCUCCUUACUAGCUCCCACAUAUUUGGUGACCCGAACGUUUCGCUCCUUCCUGCAACCAAGAUUAAGCCAUGGACCAACACCAAGGCGAUCACAAUCCGGCCACUGGUUCUGCCCAGGUCAACUUUACCGACAUCAAACUGCCAAGCUUUUGGCACAACGACCCAGCCCUCUGGUUUGUCUGGUUUCAAUAAAUAAUUUUGCACCUUGCAAAAAAAAAGUUGUGUCUGUGUGAGGAGGUAUGUUAUGGAGCCCAGGCAUGUGGCUUGAGCAUUCACUUUAUUUUAUUGUUAAGGGCA